rnacentral:rRNA from 1 species
GACGGAGGAUGCAAGCGUUAUCCGGAAUGAUUGGGCGUAAAGCGUCCGCAGGUGGCAGUUCAAGUCUGCUGUCAAAGACCGGGGCUUAACUUCGGAAAGGCAGUGGAAACUGAACAGCUAGAGUAUGGUAGGGGCAGAGGGAAUUCCUGGUGUAGCGGUGAAAUGCGUAGAGAUCAGGAAGAACAUCGGUGGCGAAGGCGCUCUGCUGGACCAUAACUGGCACUCAGGGACGAAGCUAGGGGGCGAGUGGG